CUACCAUGCAAGUCGAGCGGUAGAGAGAAGCUUGCUUCUCUUGAGAGCGGCGGACGGGUGAGUAAUGCCUAGGAAUCUGCCUGGUAGUGGGGGAUAACGUUCGGAAACGGACGCUAAUACCGCAUACGUCCUACGGGAGAAAGCAGGGGACCUUCGGGCCUUGCGCUAUCAGAUGAGCCUAGGUCGGAUUAGCUAGUUGGUGGGGUAAUGGCUCACCAAGGCGACGAUCCGUAACUGGUCUGAGAGGAUGAUCAGUCACACUGGAACUGAGACACGGUCCAGACUCCUACGGGAGGCAGCAGUGGGGAAUAUUGGACAAUGGGCGAAAGCCUGAUCCAGCCAUGCCGCGUGUGUGAAGAAGGUCUUCGGAUUGUAAAGCACUUUAAGUUGGGAGGAAGGGUUGUAGAUUAAUACUCUGCAAUUUUGACGUUACCGACAGAAUAAGCACCGGCUAACUCUGUGCCAGCAGCCGCGGUAAUACAGAGGGUGCAAGCGUUAAUCGGAAUUACUGGGCGUAAAGCGCGCGUAGGUGGUUUGUUAAGUUGGAUGUGAAAUCCCCGGGCUCAACCUGGGAACUGCAUUCAAAACUGACUGACUAGAGUAUGGUAGAGGGUGGUGGAAUUUCCUGUGUAGCGGUGAAAUGCGUAGAUAUAGGAAGGAACACCAGUGGCGAAGGCGACCACCUGGACUAAUACUGACACUGAGGUGCGAAAGCGUGGGGAGCAAACAGGAUUAGAUACCCUGGUAGUCCACGCCGUAAACGAUGUCAACUAGCCNUUGGAAGCCUUGAGCUUUUAGUGGCGCAGCUAACGCAUUAAGUUGACCGCCUGGGGAGUACGGCC
rnacentral:rRNA from 1 species